CAGAUGAAGAGCCUGCACUUACCGGCCUCCCUCCUGGGGAAGAUGGUCCUCGGCAAACUCAUGAGCAGGGCGGUGAGGACCAGUGACAGCCUCCCACAGACCACGCGCAAGAGGCACGGGGGGAUCCGCAGCUUCUCGGGCUGGGAGCCUUUGAAUGGGAGUUACAACUACAAAGUGACUCUCUCUUUAGAACUGUUUUUCCUCGGCAGGGAGGGAGGAAGGGAAAAAAAAUCCCUUUCCCACUGCCAGAAAAUCUUUAACGUUUCUCAAUGGUCGGUCGCUUCCAACUCCGGCCUCCGUGUGAAGCGAGUGUGUAUUUCACUGGACUGGAGGGAGCCCUCGGAUCCUAUGCCUCUUCCCGGACCACAGACAGAAAUGCAAAAAAACCUCAGCCUUUCCCGUGGGCUUGGAGAACGCCGUGAGAGGGCAGAACCCAGAGAGGUCCGACAUAUGGAAAAUGUGCCCCACUGUUGGGGCCACCGAAUCACUCCAGUCUCUGUGCCCUCCCCUAAUGUUUCCAGAGAGUUCUGCUGUGUUUAUGUACUUGCAUGGGACAAACACAACACCCCAGAUCCUAGCCCCACGUUACAGUGAUUCAUUUUCUCCCUCACACACAAACACAGCGCCUGUUCAAUCCAAGUGGGAAACGCCUUUCAUAAAGUUGCACAGGGUCUGGGCAGAGUGGCUGAUGGUGAAUGCAGCCUGUGUCCCCAGAAGGGCAGAGGGGCUCUGGGGAAGGAGGAGGCUGACUUUAAUUAAGACAAACAGAAAGCUCUGGGCUCCUGCCCCGUGUCUGGAAAAGGAGGGAUCAAAGACCAGGGGUUCCAGGGCACUGUUAAAUGCUGUCAGGUUGCUCUGCCCAAUUUUCCCUCUUUGCCUCCUUCUACUGGGUAGUACUUUUGGACUUGAACAAGAUGUACUGUUAGUUUAAGUGACCAAUUUGACUUCUGGCUUAGACAAAUCCUUGGAUUUCUUCACUGAAAAGACAAAAAGGAUACAUGACGUUGGUGGUAAGGAUAAACUGGGCCUCAAGCAGUAUCCAGAGAAGAACAAAUGCACAGGUUGGCUCUCUAACCUGGGUGAUUUGCUAAGUAUAAGCCACAGAGGAACAACCCACAAGUUCUGGAUCCCAUAGAAAAAAACAUCGCCGCCAUGACAGCAGAAAACAAUUCUAGAAGAUGACGCCCCUCUCACAACAAAGUUUUUUCUCAUGUGAACAGCAGUGAAUCCAGAGACUCAUGGCCGCCCAAGAGAGUGAGAAAAAGUGAUGGUUGAGGACUCAGCUCCAAAUGAGGAUAAACCUGCUAACACCGAACUGGAUCAAAGGGGAGAAACAAGAUGUUAUGAUACAUUUCAGAGAAGAAAUAUGCUGUUUUCCUCCCCAGAGGGAAGAGUGGGCUUGUCUUUCCCACAAAGCAUUCCAAAGCGUGGCGCACAAGCGGGCCAUUGAUUUCUUUUUAAUCAGAACACUACAAGUCAACAGAUUGGCCAAGUCUCUCACUGCUGGCAGAAGAGAAAAGAGACAAGAGAGAGUCCAGUGAAGCAGGGAAGUAAUGGAAACCACUAACCUUAGGACAUACAUAGAAGUUAAGCUUCUUCGGUCCUGUCGCUGAUUUUCUGACACCACGUUUGCCUGACUUGUCAAACCCAGGUCCAGAGAGUCAAUUUCAUGAUGUAGUCAAUAAACUAAAGAAAAACUCCUUUGA